GAACGCUAGCUACAGGCUUAACACAUGCAAGUCGAGGGGCAGCAUGAACUUAGCUUGCUAAGUUUGAUGGCGACCGGCGCACGGGUGAGUAACACGUAUCCAACCUGCCGUCUACUCUUGGACAGCCUUCUGAAAGGAAGAUUAAUACAAGAUGGCAUCAUGAGUCCGCAUGUUCACAUGAUUAAGGUAUUCCGGUAGACGAUGGGGAUGCGUUCCAUUAGAUAGUAGGCGGGGUAACGGCCCACCUAGUCUUCGAUGGAUAGGGGUUCUGAGAGGAAGGUCCCCCACAUUGGAACUGAGACACGGUCCAAACUCCUACGGGAGGCAGCAGUGAGGAAUAUUGGUCAAUGGGCGAGAGCCUGAACCAGCCAAGUAGCGUGAAGGAUGACUGCCCUAUGGGUUGUAAACUUCUUUUAUAAAGGAAUAAAGUCGGGUAUGUAUACCCGUUUGCAUGUACUUUAUGAAUAAGGAUCGGCUAACUCCGUG
rnacentral:rRNA from 1 species